GUGUACCGGAUGGUUUAUUUUUAUGGGCCUUUUGUGCGCUAUAUAAACAAAAAUUAUACAACUUUCAGCAACGGAUCUCUUGGCUCUCGCAUCGAUGAAGAACGCAGCGAAAUGCGAUAAGUAAUGUGAAUUGCAGAAUUCAGUGAAUCAUCGAAUCUUUGACGCACCUUGCGCUCCUUGGUAUUCCGAGGAGCAUGCCUGUUUGAGUGUCAUUAAAUUCUCAAGAAAACCUUUGGUAGGUAAUAUCAAUGGUCUUUUUUGGAUGUGAGGGUUUGUUGGCGAAAGUCAACUCUCUUGAAAUGCAUUAGCUUGGUUGACUAUUGACUUUGUCUAUUGGUGUGAUAAUUAUCUACGCCAUUGGGAUUGUCUGCUUGUCAAACUGCUUCUAAUUAUCCUUUAUUGGGACUUUUUAAAUGACCAUUGACCUCAAUCAGUA
rnacentral:rRNA from 1 species